rnacentral:rRNA from 1 species
AGCGAAUGCUGGCGGCAGGCUUAACACAUGCAAGUCGAACGCUCGUAGCAAUACGGGAGUGGCAGACGGGUGAGUAACGCGUGGGAAUAUGCCUUUUGGUUCGGAAUAACUCAGGGAAUCUUGAGCUAAUACCGGAUAAGCCCGUGAGGGGAAAGAUUUAUCGCCAAAAGAUUAGCCCGCGUCCGAUUAGCUAGUUGGUGAGGUAAUGGCACACCAAGGCGACGAUCGGUAGCUGGUCUGAGAGGAUGAUCAGCCACAUUGGGACUGAGACACGGCCCAAACUCCUACGGGAGGCAGCAGUGGGGAAUAUUGGACAAUGGGCGCAAGCCUGAUCCAGCCAUGCCGCGUGAGUGAUGAAGGCCUUAGGGUUGUAAAGCUCUUUUGUCCGGGAAGAUAAUGACUGUACCGGAAGAAUAAGCCCCGGCUAACUUCGUGCCAGCCGCCGCAGUAA